UGGAGAGGUUACACAAAGGAAAAAAGCCCACCAUUGCUAUUGGUCUUCCAUAAAGAACCAGAAGAAUCGGAACCCUCAUUAUCAGGAGUAUCAUAGGAUGUCCUUCAAUACACAGCAAUAAUUAGAUGCAGAACUCCUGGAAGACUCAGUCUGUGUUGAUAGCAGAAGUUCAGCUUGUUUGACUUGGUCCUAAGCUGUCAGUGUGAGCAAGAAGAUGCUGUUGAACUGC